AUGCAUCAUAUCCUAUUAUUUGGUUUCAUCAACAUAGACUGUGGGCUACAGGGAGAGGAGAGCUACGUCGACGACGAGACAAAGCUGGUGUACGUCUCGGACGCUGGGUUCACCAACACCGGCACGCCUUACAACAUCUCGGCUGAGAACUACCGGCCAUGGCGGUCCAGGAACGUCUGCAGCCUGCGAAGUUUCCCCGAUGGCGUGCGCAACUGCUACACGUUAGGAUCCCUGGAGUCGGGCCUCAAGUACCUCUUCCGCGCGACGUUUCUCUAUGGCAACUACGACGGCCUUAACAAACGACCAGCGUCGUUCGACCUCUACAUCGGCGUCAACUUCUGGACGGCGGUGAACAUGUCGUGGUGGGGGUUGGAUGAGGACAACAGGGCGACGGUGGAGGCCAUCGUAGUCUUGCCACACGACAUAGUGCAGGUGUGCCUGGUGAACACAGGCGGCGGGACGCCCUUCAUCUCCGGGCUGGAGCUGAGGCCGCUCAAGAUGUCGCUCUACCCACAGGCAACGGCGGAGCUGGGGCUGUUCCUGCUGCGCAGGCGAAACUUUGCCGCGAUAAACGGAACUAUCAUCAGGUUCCCCGAUGAUCCAUACGACAGGCUAUGGUACCCUAGGUCCGACGCCACGAUGUGGGCAGAGACGACGACGACCGAGAGGGUGGACGACGUCGAUGGCGACGAGUUCGAGGCGCCCAUGGCGGUGCUGCAGACGGCGAUCAAGCCGCUGAACACCUCCGGUAGCAUCAAGUUCGGCUGGGAGGUGGCGCCCGAGCUCAACAAUGUGUCGCCGGGGCCGGGGUACCUCGCCGUCUUGCACUUGGUCGAACUGGAGCUCCUCGGCGGGGAUGCCUUGCGCCAGUUCAACAUCAGUGUCAACCACGAUGAAAGCUGGGUCCCGGGCUACACGCCGCCAGGCUAUCUCCGCAGAGCCUAUGUCUACAAUAAAUUCACCAACCCGCGCGACAGCAGCUACAUCGUCACCAUCAAGGCCACAGCCAAUUCCACGCUGCCGCCCAUCAUCAACGCCUACGAGUUGUUCUCCGUCAUCACCACCACCAACAUUGGAACAGAAUCCCAGGAUGCAUCCGCCCUCAUGGCGAUCAAGGCCAAGUACGGGGUGCGCAAGAACUGGAUGGGUGACCCAUGCUUUCCCAAGACUAUGGCAUGGGAUGGCUUGACAUGCGGCUAUGCCGCUGCCAACCCUCCAAGGAUCACAAGCAUAAACAUGUCCUCCAGUGGUCUAAAUAGUGAUAUAGCAUCAUCUUUCGUGCAUCUAAAGGCUCUCCAAUACUUGGAUUUGUCAAACAAUAACUUGACAGGAUCAAUUCCAGAUGCCCUUUCAGAGUUACCAUCAUUGACAGUCAUAGAUUUGUCUGGCAACCAACUCAAUGGAUCAAUUCCCUCUGGACUUCUCAAAAGAAUUCAAGAUGGCUCCCUGGUUCUAAGACAUGGCAACAAUCCAAACCUUUGCACUGACGGCAAUUCAUGUGAGCUUGCUGCUAAAAGGAAGGGCAAACUGGCCAUCUAUGUUGCCGUCCCUGUACUUGUCAUUGUGGUGAUAGUAUCACUGGCCCUACUAGUCUUGUUCUUCCUAAGACGACGAAACCAGCAGCAAGUUGAGAAUCGCCGGUUCACUUACAAGGAACUCGAGAGGAUAACCAAUGGCUUUGACCGGGUGCUUGGCGAAGGAGGGUUCGGCCGUGUCUAUGAUGGCUUCCUGGAAGAUGGUACUCAAGUGGCAGUGAAGUUGCGGUCUCAUUCCUCCAAUCAAGGCGUCAAGGAGUUCCUCGCAGAGGCUCAGAUUUUAACCCGGAUUCAUCACAAGAAUCUUGUCUCAAUGAUUGGUUACUGCAAGGAUCGGGAGUAUAUGGCACUUGUGUACGAGUACAUGGCACAAGGGACCCUGCGAGAGCACAUUGCAGCAAGUGGACGCAAUGGAGGAUGUUUACCGUGGAGGCAGAGACUCAAAAACGCACUUGAAUCUGCACAAGGGUUGGAGUAUCUGCAUACGGGUUGCAACCCGCCUCUCAUCCACAGGGAUGUCAAGGCCACCAACAUUCUGCUGAAUGCCAGGCUAGAGGCCAAGAUUGCUGAUUUUGGCUUGACGAAAGCCUUUGACUACCACAACAACACCCAUCUUUUCACGAACACGCUCGCUUUUACCCCAGGAUACGUUGAUCCGGAGUACCAGGCCACGAUGCACCCAACGACCAAGAGCGACGUGUACAGCUUUGGAGUGGUGCUGCUGGAGCUGGUCACCGGGAAACCAGCCAUUCUUUCGGACCCAGAGCCCACAAGCAUCGUCCAAUGGGCAAGGCAGCGGCUGGCGCGCGGCAACAUGGAGGGCGUGGUGGACGCGCGAAUGCAGGGUGGUUAUGAUAUCAACGGCGUGUGGAAGGUGGCGGAGAUUGCACUCAAAUGCACCGCACAGGGGUCGGCACAGCGGCCCACCAUGGCUGACGUGGUGGCGCAGCUACAGGAGUGUGUGGAGCUCGAGGAGGGCCGCGCUCCUAGCUUCCACACCGGUGGCAGCAGCGGUGACGAGAAUUACAAUGCUUACGCUAGUGCGCAGUCCACCGAUGUGAGCAGUAACACUGCAUUCGAAACGGAGCUGAGGAUACCAACAUUGGCCGCCGAUCCAGGCCCGACAGCACGUUGA
rnacentral:rRNA from 1 species